GAUUAGAUACCCUAGUAUUAUAAUAAAUUAUAAAUUAGUAUGAUGAAAAUUAAUAAUUUUGGCGGUUAAUUUUUUUUUAGAGGAGCUUGUUGUUGUAGUAGAAUUGGCUCUUUGAAUUUUAAUAUUAAUAUAAUUUAUUCAUCUCCGUUAUCAAGAUUAUUUAAUAAAUAUUUUUAAUAUAUCAGGUCAAGAUGUAGUUUUUAUCUAAUAUAAUUAGCUAUAUUUAUAUAAUAAAUGAAAUGAAUUUAAAUUGUAGAUUGGAUUUGAAUUUAGAUUUAAUUGUAAUAAUAAUUAGAAAGUUGUUAUGAAUUUAAUUAAUUAAUGUACAUAUUGCCCGUCACUUCUAUAAUAAAUAGAAUAAGUCGUAACAAAGUA
rnacentral:rRNA from 1 species